AGGAGUUUAGGUUAAACAAACCAAGAGCCUUCAAAGCCCUAAAUAGAAGCCAGCCCGCCCUCCUAACUCCUG
rnacentral:tRNA from 1 species